AUUCACCUAUUAAGACAAGCAUAUACCAACUAAUUUCAAGACAUAUACAUAUGUCAAUAGGUUAAGCAUAAGCUCAAAAAAAAUCACAUGGUUAAAUUAGAAACACACUCCUAUUACAUUCAAAACAUACCAAUUAAACCAUCCAAAAACAUAUCAGUCAACCAUUUCUUUUCUAAUUUCAAAAGACCCUGCACAACCAUUAACAAGAGGUAUUAAAGCAUGUCGAAGCUUGGCACAACCCAAAACAUACCAAGUUAACAUAGAAACCUAUACAUGGC
rnacentral:lncRNA from 1 species